UGCCACGUGGUCUAGUGGCUAGUAUACCUGGCCUUCACCCAGGAGGCCCGUGUUCGAUUCCCGGUGUGAGAA